AAACCUCAGGGGGUCAGAGAUGGGCAUGCGUCCGAUUAGCUAGUUGGUGAGGUAACGGCUCACCAAGGCUACGAUCGGUAGGGGGUCUGAGAGGAUGAUCCCCCACACUGGUACUGAGACACGGACCAGACUCCUACGGGAGGCAGCAGUAAGGAAUAUUGGACAAUGGGCGAAAGCCUGAUCCAGCCAUGCCGCGUGCAGGAUGAAGGCCCUAUGGGUCGUAAACUGCUUUUGGCGGGGAAAAAACCCUCCGACGUGUCGGAGGUUGAUGGUACCCGCAGAAUAAGGAUCGGCUAACUCCGUGCCAGCAGCCGCGGUAAUACGGAGGAUCCAAGCGUUAUCCGGAUUUAUUGGGUUUAAAGGGUGCGUAGGCGGAUUAAUAAGUCAGUGGUGAAAGCCUACAGCUUAACUGUAGAACUGCCAUUGAUACUGUUAGUCUUGAGUAUAGUUGAGGUGGGCGGAAUAUGACAUGUAGCGGUGAAAUGCUUAGAUAUGUCAUAGAACACCGAUUGCGAAGGCAGCUCACUAAGCUAUUACUGACGCUGAGGCACGAAAGCGUGGGUAGCAAACAGGAUUAGAUACCCUGGUAGUCCACGCCCUAAACGAUGAUCACUCGAUGUUGGCGAUACACAGUCAGCGUCUAAGGGAAACCAUUAAGUGAUCCACCUGGGGAGUACGGUCGCAAGACUGAAACUCAAAGGAAUUGACGGGGGCCCGCACAAGCGGAGGAGCAUGUGGUUUAAUUCGAUGAUACGCGAGGAACCUUACCUGGCUUGAAAGUUAGUGAAUUCCGCAGAAACGCGGAAGGCCGAAAGGACACGAAACUAGGUGCUGCAUGGCUGUCGUCAGCUCGUGCCGUGAGGUGUUGGGUUAAGUCCCGCAACGAGCGCAACCCCUAUCAUUAGUUGCCAACAGGUUAUGCUGGGGACUCUAAUGAGACUGCCUGCGCAAGCAGUGAGGAAGGUGGGGACGACGUCAAGUCAUCACGGCCCUUACGUCCAGGGCUACACACGUGCUACAAUGGCCGACACAAUGGGCAGCUACAUGGUAACAUGAUGCUAAUCUCUAAAGUCGGUCUCAGUUCGGAUUGAGGUCUGCAACUCGACCUCAUGAAGCUGGAUUCGCUAGUAAUCGCGUAUCAGCAAUAACGCGGUGAAUACGUUCCCGGGCCUUGUACACACCGCCCGUCAAGCCAUGGGAGUUGGGGGUACCUGAAGUCGAUCACCGUAAGGAGUCGCCUAGGGUAAAACCGAUGACUAGGGCUAAGUCGUAACAAGGUA
rnacentral:rRNA from 1 species